rnacentral:rRNA from 1 species
UACGUAGGGUGCGAGCGUUGUCCGGAAUUAUUGGGCGUAAAGGGCUCGUAGGCGGUCUGUUGCGUCAGGAGUGAAAACUCGGGGCUUAACCCCGAGCCUGCUUCUGAUACGGGCAGACUAGAGGUAUGCAGGGGAGAACGGAAUUCCUAGUGUAGCGGUGAAAUGCGCAGAUAUCAGGAGGAACACCGGUGGCGAAGGCGGUUC